UAUAAGGGAUUUUGAGUUUUUACUUGUAACGUUUGACCACUCGUCUUAUUCAAAUUUUUUUAAAAUUAUUAUUUAUUUUAUUUGUGACUUACUUUAUUAUCCACAGUAUUUUAAUCACAACUUUUCAUUUUUUAUAUUUGCAAAAAAAAUUGAAUAAGACGAGCGGUCAAACGUUGCAAACAAAAACUCAAAAUCCCCUAUAUU
rnacentral:pre_miRNA from 1 species